rnacentral:rRNA from 1 species
GUAGGGGCAAGCGUUAUCCGGAAUUAUUGGGCGUAAAGAGUGCGUAGGUGGUUUUAUAAGCGCGAGGUGAAAGGCAAUGGCUCAACUAUUGUAAGCCUUGCGAACUGUAAGACUUGAGUGCAGGAGAGGAAAGUGGAAUUCCUAGUGUAGCGGUGAAAUGCGUAGAUAUUAGGAGGAACACCAGUGGCGAAGGCGACUUUCUGGACUGUAACUGACACUGAGGCACGAAAGCGUGGGGAGCAAACAGGAUUAGAUACCCUGGUAGUCCACGCCGUAAACGAUGAGCACUAGGUGUCGGGGGUCGCAAGGCUUCGGUGCCGCAGUUAACGCAUUAAGUGCUCCGCCUGGGGAGUACGCACGCAAGUGUG